UACAGAGAUGGCUAGCGUUGUUCGGAUUCAUUGGGUGUAAAGGGUGCGUAGGCGGUUUGGAAAGUCAGAUGUGAAAGCCUAGAGCUUAACUCUAGAAAUGCAUUUGAAACUUCCAGGCUGGAGUAUGGGAGAGGUGAAGGGAAUUCCCGGUGUAAGGGUGAAAUCUGUAGAGAUCGGGAGGAACACCAGUGGCGAAGGCGCUUCACUGGCCCAUAACUGACGCUGAGUGCACGAAGGCAUGGGGAGCAAACGGGAUUAGAUACCCCGGUAGUCCAUGCAGUAAACGAUGUUCACUAGGUGCUGGUUCCGUUUAUUCGGGGUCAGUGCCGCAGCUAACGCAUUAAGUGAACCACCUGGGGAGUACAGUCGCAAGGCUGAA
rnacentral:rRNA from 1 species